rnacentral:ncRNA from 1 species
GAAAGCCGUGUGCAAUGAAAAAUGCAAGCACGGUUUGGGGAGGGAUUUUUUAUUUCUUUAACCUAUUUUUUUUAACAAGGAAAUUAUCUACUCCAU